rnacentral:rRNA from 1 species
CACCGGCUAACUCCAUGCCAGCAGCCGCGGUAAUACGGAGGGUGCGGGCGUUAUCCGGAUUCACUGGGUUUAAAGGGUGCGUAGGAGGACAGGUAAGUCAAUGGUGAAAUCUCCGAGCUUAACUCGGAAACUGCCGUUGAUACUAUCUGUCUUGAAUACCGUGGAGGUGAGCGGAAUAUGUCAUGUAGCGGUGAAAUGCUUAGAUAUGACAUAGAACACCAAUUGCGAAGGCAGCUCGCUACACGAAUAUUGACUCUGAGGCACGAAAGCGUGGGGAUCAAACAGGAUUAGAUACCCUGGUAGUCCACGCCCUAAACGAUGGAUACUCGACAUACGCGAUACACUGUGUGUGUCUGAG